CUUAAAUUGAAGAGUUUGAUCAUGGCUCAGAUUGAACGCUGGCGGCAGGCCUAACACAUGCAAGUCGAGCGGAAACGAGUUAUCUGAACCUUCGGGGGACGAUAGCGGCGUCGAGCGGCGGACGGGUGAGUAAUGCCUAGGAAAUUGCCCUGAUGUGGGGGAUAACCAUUGGAAACGAUGGCUAAUACCGCAUGAUGCCUACGGGCCAAAGAGGGGGACCUUCGGGCCUCUCGCGUCAGGAUAUGCCUAGGUGG
rnacentral:rRNA from 1 species